CCUACGGGAGGCAGCAGUGAGGAAUAUUGGUCAAUGGGCGAGAGCCUGAACCAGCCAAGUCGCGUGAGGGAAGACGGUCCUAAGGAUUGUAAACCUCUUUUGUCAGGGAGCAAGAAGCGCCACGAGUGGUUCGGCGAGAGUACCUGAAGAAAAAGCAUCGGCUAACUCCGUGCCAGCAGCCGCGGUAAUACGGAGGAUGCGAGCGUUAUCCGGAUUUAUUGGGUUUAAAGGGUGCGGAGGCGGAAGCGGCAAGUCAGCGGUAAAAUUGCGGGGCUCAACCUCGCCGAGCCGUUGAAACUGCUCGUAUAGAGUGGGCGAGAAGUAUGCGGAAUGCGUGGUGUAGCGGUGAAAUGCAUAGAUAUUACGUAGAACUCCGAUUGCGAAGGCAGCAUACCGGCGCCGAACUGACGCUGAUGCACGAAAGCGUGGGUAUCGAACAGGAUUAGAUACCCCUGUAGUC
rnacentral:rRNA from 1 species